AUUGAACGCUGGCGGCGUGCUUAACACAUGCAAGUCGAACGAUGAAGCCCAGCUUGCUGGGUGGAUUAGUGGCGAACGGGUGAGUAACACGUGAGUAACCUGCCCAUGACUCUGGGAUAAGCCUGGGAAACUGGGUCUAAUACCGGAUAGGAACGUCCACCGCAUGGUGGUUGUUGGAAAGAUUUAUCGGUCAUGGAUGGACUCGCGGCCUAUCAGCUUGUUGGUGAGGUAAUGGCUCACCAAGGCGACGACGGGUAGCCGGCCUGAGAGGGUGACCGGCCACACUGGGACUGAGACACGGCCCAGACUCCUACGGGAGGCAGCAGUGGGGAAUAUUGCACAAUGGGCGAAAGCCUGAUGCAGCGACGCCGCGUGAGGGAUGACGGCCUUCGGGUUGUAAACCUCUUUCAGUAGGGAAGAAGCGAAAGUGACGGUACCUGCAGAAGAAGCACCGGCUAACUACGUGCCAGCCGCCGCAGUAA
rnacentral:rRNA from 1 species